ensembl:lincRNA Gm11528 predicted gene 11528
AGCCAAGCCUCUCACCUCAUCUGAAGCUCCCUGGCGGCUGCCUUUGGUCUUCUCACCAUGCCCGGCGCCUGUACUGGGGACCUGUGGCUCUUUUCCACGCGCCAACAACUUCAGGCCUGUGUCCAGAGUUACGAUGUGCAGAAUAAGGAUUCCUUGAAAUGCCCACAUCCUGGUGCCUAGAAAGUGUGAUUGGAUAUGGGAACCGUGAUGAAGGGUCUUGAGCCUAGGACCUUGGCUUGAGACACCCAUGGAUGCCACACAAUAACCAUUAGUAUCCCAGCCAGGAAAAGAAAGAGGGGAGUCACAUUCUGGGACAACUCGGCAGUCUGCUCCUCUUGAUGCAAGCCAAGGGCUAAAGUCAGUUCUCACCUGUAUCCCUGCCUUGGCCCCCUAGUGAGCUCCUCUCUCUUUCUGACCUUGCUGUGCAGACUCCGCUCCUACACUGGGAAUCCAACCUGACCUAGAAGAGCUCGUCCAGCCAGUUCCCGACCGACCAAGCCUCUCCUCACUGGUGCCCCUUAUUCUCCCACUCCAGCCUCAUCUUCUCCCAACAGCUUGUACUUGACUCUUGUCUGCUUCAGCAUCCUUGAAGACAUCAUCCCCAUCUACCUGACAGUUUUCCCAUCCCCUCCGGUCUCACCUUGAGCAUUCAUUCCUAGGACAAGACUCUCAGAUUCCCCAUGCUGGUCAGAUCUGAGUGUUUACACAGCGUCGUCUUAUUUUCUUUGCCCCGGUCCAGGCUGUCAUGCUGACUCCAGCUGUGGACCUAUUUGAUUGACAUCUGCUUGCCACUGAGCUGCGGGCUGUUUAUGGGUAGAAGCCAAAUUUGCAUUGCUCUCUCAGUGCCCCCAAGGCCGGCACAAUUUCUGGCAUGUAGAGUUCACUCGGAGAAUAAGUGUUCCAAUGAGCAAGAC